AUUGAACGCUGGCGGCAGGCUUAACACAUGCAAGUCGAGCGGAGAUGAGGUGCUUGCACCUUAUCUUAGCGGCGGACGGGUGAGUAAUGCUUAGGAAUCUGCCUAUUAGUGGGGGACAACAUUCCGAAAGGAAUGCUAAUACCGCAUACGCCCUACGGGGGAAAGCAGGGGAUCUUCGGACCUUGCGCUAGUAGAUGAGCCUAAGUCGGAUUAGCUAGUUGGAGGGGUAAAGGCCUACCAAGGCGACGAUCUGUAGCGGGUCUGAGAGGAUGAUCCGCCACACUGGGACUGAGACACGGCCCAGACUCCUACGGGAGGCAGCAGUGGGGAAUAUUGGACAAUGGGCGGAAGCCUGAUCCAGCCAUGCCGCGUGUGUGAAGAAGGCCUUUUGGUUGUAAAGCACUUUAAGCGAGGAGGAGGCUACCUGGAUUAAUACUCUAGGAUAGUGGACGUUACUCGCAGAAUAAGCACCGGCUAACUCUGUGCCAGCCGCCGCAGUAACAC
rnacentral:rRNA from 1 species